rnacentral:rRNA from 1 species
CUCUUUAGCUUGGCAUUUGAAUCGGCUUUGCUGUUGCGAAGUAGAGUGGCGGCUUCGGCUGCCGAGGGUCGAUCCAUUUGGGAAAUGUUGUGUACUUCGGUAUGCAUCUCAAUUGGACCUGAUAUCAGGCAAGAUUACCCGCUGAACUUAAGCAUAUUAAUAAGCGGAGGAAAAGAAACUAACAAGGAUUCCCCUAGUAACGGCGAGUGAAGCGGGAAGAGCUCAAGCUUAAAAUCUCCGUGCAAGUUUUGCGCGGCGAAUUGUAGUCUAUAGAGGCGUGAUCAGUGUGGGCGCUUGGGGCAAGUUCCUUGGAAGAGGACAGCAUGGAGGGUGAUACUCCCGUUCAUCCCUGAGUUGCUCGUGCGUACGAUCCGUUUUCUUUGAGUCGCGUUGUUUGGGAAUGCAGCGCAAAGUAGGUGGUAAAUUCCAUCUAAAGCUAAAUAUUGGUGCGAGACCGAUAGCGAACAAGUACCGUGAGGGAAAGAUGAAAAGAACUUUGAAAAGAGAGUUAAAGAGUACCUGAAACUGCUGAAAGGGAACCGAAUCGUUUCCAGUGUCUAUAAUCCGUGGUAUAUUUCAUUGGCGAGUGUGUGCGUGCGUGUGCUGUGGCAGCGGCUUUUUUGGCUGCGCUCGGCGUGUGUGCUGUGUGUGCUUGCUGGUGCCCUGUGCUGCGGUGGGACGUCAAGGUCAGUUCGUAUGCUGCGGGAAAUGGCCGCCGAGGAGGUAGGGCUUACGCUUGCGUUUGUCUGUUAUAUCUUGGUGGACGAGUAGUCGCGGUUGGGACUGAGGUGCCUACAACGUGUUUUUGAGUGGGCCUGUGUCUCUGUGUGCGCCGUGUGCGGAUAGCUUGCUAUGCGUGUGUGGUUGUGUGUGGAUUGAUGUGGGUUUUAACUUGUUGCCGUUCGGGACGUUGACGAAAUGGAGCGAUUUGACCCGUCUUGAAACACGAACCAAGGAGUCUAACAUGUGUGCAAGUGUUAGGGUGUGGAAACCCCAGCGCGAAAUGAAAGUGAAGGGCAGCGUAAGUUGUCUGAGGUAGGAAAUGCUGCGGGCUUCGGUCUGCGGUGUGGCACUAUCGACCGAUCAUGAACCUUCGUGGUGAAAGAUUUGAGUUUGAGCACAUAUGUUGGUACCCGAAAGAUGGUGAACUAUGCCUGAGUAGGGUGAAGCCAGGGGAAACUCUGGUGGAAGCUCGUAGCGAUUCUGACGUGCAAAUCGAUCGUCAAACUUGGGUAUAGGGGCGAAAGACUAAUCGAACCAUCUAGUAGCUGGUUCCCUCCGAAAUUUCCCUCAGGAUAGCAGCAACUUAUUUACGAUAGUUUUAUGAGGUAAAGCGAAUGAUUAGAGGAUUCGGGGAAGAAACUUCCUCGACCUAUUCUCAAACUUUAAAUCUGUAAGACCUGCAGGUUUCUUAAUUGAACUUGUGGAUGUGAAUAUCAAGUUGCUAGUGGGCCAUACGGGGUAAGCUCGUCUGGCGAUGCGGGAUGAACCGAACGCAAAGUUAAAGUGCCAAAAUGCUCGCUCACCUAGAUACCAUAAAAGGUGUUGGUUCAUUUAGACAGCAGGACGGUGGCCAUGGAAGUCGGAAUCCGCUAAGGAGUGUGUAACAACUCACCUGCCGAAUGAACUAGCCCUGAAAAUGGAUGGCGCUAAAGCGGGCUACUUAUACUUUGCCGUUAGCGCGAUAGCAUUUAUAAUGUACGCGUUAAUGAGUAGGAGGGCGUGAAGGUCGUGAAGAAGCUCGUGGCGUGAGCCUGAGUGAAACGGCCUUUAGUGCAGAUCUUGGUGGUAGUAGCAAAUAUUCAAAUGCGAACUUUGAAGACUGAAGUGGAGAAAGGUUCCGUGUGAUCAGUAAUUGGACACGGCUGAGUCGAUCCUAAGAGAUAGGAUAAUUCCGUUUGAAAGCUGGGCUGUUUGAGGCGUGGGGUUCGUCCUUGCGUUUUGUAUGCAGC